AUACCUUUCUUGGCCUUUUGGCUAAGAUCAAGUGUAGUAUCUGUUAAGUGUGGUCAUGCUCACACAAUUUUCGAAGCGUUAUGAUUUUUUUGAAGGUAAAGAGAAAAGGCUUGAUUUUGAAGGAGUGGAAACACUCAGAUGAAAUGUAACUUGGUUCUUGGAAUUCGGUGCAUCAAGUGCAUCACCGUAAUCUUC